GGGGAGAUGCCGGAGUGGACGAUCGGAGCCGCCUGCUAAGCGGUUGUGUGGGUAAAACUGCACCCAGGGUUCGAAUCCCUGUCUCCCCGCCA
rnacentral:tRNA from 1 species